UGAAUUAUCUUAAAAUACUCAGCAUCAAGUGGAAAUACAUGCAUGAAUCCAGAUCGUAGAACAUUUUAUAAAAGAACUGGCCUGGACACAGCGCAAUGUCACUGUCAUAAAAGAGUCUCCCAAAAAAGAAGUGAGACUUUCUAGGUAAAAAGAGGUAAAAAGGCAGGUCAUAGGCAACACUGGUGCUUUCAACGGACGCUGAAUUUUUUAAAAGCAGCUAAAAAGGAUGUUUUGGGGAGAGCUGGGGAGAAUUAAAAUACUAAUAGAUGUCUAGAAAUGCAGAUGAUUUAUUUUUCACAGAUUGGAUAUGACCUUGACAAUGACAUGCAUAUUUGUCAAUGUUUCCAGAUUUUCCGGAUGGCCUGUGGACUGUCUACCUUAGUCAGUAUUAUCACAUCAAUGAUGAAUUUCUAAGCUCUCUGUAGGUCUGACGAUUUCCAAAAUAAGC
ensembl:lncRNA novel transcript, antisense to PPP5C